GAUGAACGCUAGCGGAAGGCUUAAUACAUGCAAGUCGAGCGGUAGGUGGCUUCGGCCAUUGAGAGCGGCGCACGGGUGAGUAACGCGUACAUGACCUGCCCGUCAGAAGGGGAUAGCCCUGGGAAACUGGGAUUAAUACCCUAUGGUAUUGAUAUUAUGAAUGAUAUCAAUUAAAGUUGAGGCGCUGACAGAUGGAUGUGCGUCUGAUUAGCUAGUUGGUAGGGCAACGGCCUACCAAGGCGACGAUCAGUAGGGGGCGUGAGAGCGUGGUCCCCCACACGGGUACUGAGACACGGACCCGACUCCUACGGGAGGCAGCAGUAAGGAAUAUUGGUCAAUGCCCGCAAGGGUGAACCAGCCAUUCCGCGUGGAGGAUGAAGGCCCUAUGGGUUGUAAACUUCUUUUAGAUGGGAAGAAAAUGCUAGAUGUAUCUGGUACUGACGGUACCAUCAGAAUAAGCACCGGCUAACUCCGUGCCAGCCGCCGCCGUAAGAC
rnacentral:rRNA from 1 species